rnacentral:rRNA from 1 species
CGGUAAGGCCCUUCGGGGUACACGAGCGGCGAACGGGUGAGUAACACGUGAGUAAUCUGCCCUCCACUUCGGGAUAAGCCUCGGAAACGGGGUCUAAUACCGGAUAUGACCACUUCAUGCAUGUGAUGGUGGUGGAAAGUUUUUCGGUGGGGGAUGUGCUCGCGGCCUAUCAGCUUGUUGGUGGGGUAAUGGCCUACCAAGGCUUCGACGGGUAGCCGGCCUGAGAGGGUGACCGGCCACACUGGGACUGAGACACGGCCCAGACUCCUACGGGAGGCAGCAGUGGGGAAUAUUGGACAAUGGGCGGAAGCCUGAUCCAGCAACGCCGCGUGAGGGAUGACGGCCUUCGGGUUGUAAACCUCUUUCAGUGGGGACGAAGCGCAAGUGACGGUACCCACAGAAGAAGCACCGGCCAACUACGUGCCAGCAGCCGCGGUAAUACGUAGGGUGCGAGCGUUGUCCGGAAUUAUUGGGCGUAAAGGGCUCGUAGGCGGUUUGUCGCGUCGGGAGUGAAAACACUGGGCUUAACUCAGUGCUUGCUUCCGAUACGGGCAGACUAGAGGUAUUCAGGGGAGAACGGAAUUCCUGGUGUAGCGGUGAAAUGCGCAGAUAUCAGGAGGAACACCGGUGGCGAAGGCGGUUCUCUGGGAAUUACCUGACGCUGAGGAGCGAAAGUGUGGGGAGCGAACAGGAUUAGAUACCCUGGUAGUCCACACCGUAAACGUUGGGCGCUAGGUGUGGGGUCCAUUCCACGGAUUCCGUGCCGCAGCUAACGCAUUAAGCGCCCCGCCUGGGGAGUACGGCCGCAAGGCUAAAACUCAAAGGAAUUGACUGGGGCCCGCACAAGCGGCGGAGCAUGCGGAUUAAUUUCGAUGCAACGCGAAGAACCUUACCUGGGUUUGACAUACGCCGGAAGCCGUAGAGAUACGGCCCUUUUAGUCAGUGUACAGUGGUGCAUGGCUGUCGUCAGCUCG